AGUGAACGCUGGCGGUAGGCCUAACACAUGCAAGUCGAACGGCAGCACAGUAAGAGCUUGCUCUUACGGGUGGCGAGUGGCGGACGGGUGAGGAAUACAUCGGAAUCUACUUUUUCGUGGGGGAUAACGUAGGGAAACUUACGCUAAUACCGCAUACGACCUACGGGUGAAAGCAGGGGAUCUUCGGACCUUGCGCGAUUGAAUGAGCCGAUGUCGGAUUAGCUAGUUGGCGGGGUAAAGGCCCACCAAGGCGACGAUCCGUAGCUGGUCUGAGAGGAUGAUCAGCCACACUGGAACUGAGACACGGUCCAGACUCCUACGGGAGGCAGCAGUGGGGAAUAUUGCACAAUGGGCGGAAGCCUGAUGCAGCAACGCCGCGUGCGGGAUGACGGCCUUCGGGUUGUAAACCGCUUUCGCCUGUGACGAAGCGUGAGUGACGGCAAUGGGUAAAGAAGCACCGGCUAACUACGUG
rnacentral:rRNA from 1 species